AGUCCGGUCGCCGCUGCUGCUUGAGGUGGCUGCCGGGGCUACCGCCAAACCGGUUCAGAGGCCGUUGCUAUUUUUGUUUUCGUAUUACAGUAAGUAUUUUACGUUUCGAAAACCUCCGCGUUAAUGUCCUGUUAUGUAUAUUAAGGUCUUUGCGGUAUUAAUGUGUUAGGAGUUAGAAUCCGGUUUGCUUAUGCCGCUUGUAGCUGUUUCUGCUUUUGAGAGAGCAAGCAGAGCCAAGGUUUUGAUUGCCGGUGAUUUCGGGCCGAGCAAAAAGGAGUCAGUUAACGAGUUUGGGAUGUAGUUUCAACGUGUUGAGGAUAUGGGCGCAGAAGUUACGAAGAGCUUAUUUAAUU